UACACUCCUACGGGAGGCAGCAGUAGGGAAUCUUCGACAAUGGGGGCAACCCUGACCGAGCAACGCCGCGUGAGUGAAGAAGGUUUUCGGAUCGUAAAGCUCUGUUGUAAGUCAAGAACGAGUGUGAGAGUGGAAAGUUCACACUGUGACGGUAGCUUACCAGAAAGGGACGGCUAACUACGUGCCAGCAGCCGCGGUAAUACGUAGGUCCCGAGCGUUGUCCGGAUUUAUUGGGCGUAAAGCGAGCGCAGGCGGUUUGAUAAGUCUGAAGUUAAAGGCUGUGGCUCAACCAUAGUUCGCUUUGGAAACUGUCAAACUUGAGUGCAGAAGGGGAGAGUGGAAUUCCAUGUGUAGCGGUGAAAUGCGUAGAUAUAUGGAGGAACACCGGUGGCGAAAGCGGCUCUCUGGUCUGUAACUGACGCUGAGGCUCGAAAGCGUGGGGAGCGAACAGGAUUAGAAACCCUUGUAGUCCCAUGAU
rnacentral:rRNA from 1 species